rnacentral:lncRNA from 10 species
UACAUGAAAGAGACCCUGGAUUAUUAACCAUGUGGAGCUUUAAUGAAGAUUUGCUCUUCUGCCAUCACUGUGAGAGUAUUCCUGAGCCAGCCAGCUGGAGGGAAAAACAGGAGGAGCAGGGCUGAGUCGCACCAGUCAUAUACGUGUGGCCAUCUUGUAUCAUCUUUAAUGCUAUUUCAUCUAAGUCUGAAAGUGGAGAAGUCUUGAGAAAAGGCUGAGUGUUGCAGAGUCCUAACUGAGGGCAGUUGGCUUCCCCAAGAAAGUGAGACACCUUGGAAAGGCUGACUCUGACCUGCAGUGACCAUAUAUCAGUUCCAUAUGACAGAAUGUCUCCUUCCAAUGGAUGUUGAUCACCUUGUCACCUGUUGCCUAAAUGACCUUGUCUAUUGUCCAUUAUUUUGAUGUAUCCAGAGGGGCAACAAAUCACUCUCCUAGCUGCACAAUCAUUCUCCUGGUAAAUGUAUUAGGCUUACCAAAGAAACGUACAAAAUCCCAUCUGAGAAUGGUCAGUUUUCCAAGCUGAACUACAUCAUGAAGUAAACCUCAAGAUCAAGAAAGUGAUCGAAAUUACUUUUUUUUUUUUUUUUUUUUUUUUUUGAGACGGAGUCUCCCUCUGUUGCCCAGGCUGGAGUGCUGUGGCGCGGUCUUAGCUAACUGCAAGCUCCGCCUCCUGGAUUCACGCCAUUCUCCUGCCUCAGCCUCCCAACUCCGCUGAUAUUACCACAGGUCUUGAUAUAACUCAGCCUUUGGAGGCAUCACUCAGGAUGGUAACAGACAUGGCUAGCCUUGGAGAUACUUCUCAUUUUAAAAUCGCUUGCCAGCUUUUGGAAUGGAACUUAUACCAUCAGCUCUCCUGACUCUCAGGUCUUCAGAACAGGCUAGAACUAUACAUUGUUUCUCUAGCUUGUCAACUGCAGAUCCUGGGAAUUCUCAGCCUCCAUAAUCAUAUGAGCCAAUGCUUUAUCACGAAUAAAUGCAUGUGUGUGUUUGUGUAUAUAUAUAUUUAUUUAUAUCCUACUAGUUAUAUUUCUUUGGAG